GACGAACGCUGGCGGCGUGCUAAACACAUGAAAGUCGAACGAAGUGGCGAACGGGUGAGUAAUACGUGGGUAACCUGCCCUCCUCUUUGGGAUAAGCCUUGGAAACGGGGUCUAAUACCGAAUAAAGGGGGCUGGGCUCGCGGCCUAUCGGCUUGUUGGUGGGGUGAUGGCCUAGCAAGGCGGUGACCGGUAGCCGGCGUGAGAAGGUGGCCGGCGAAAUGGGCGCGGGCUUACGGCCCAGGCUCCUACAGGAGGCAGCAGUGGGGAAUAGUCCAGAAUGGCAGAAAGCGUGAGGCAGCCAGGCGGCGUGGGGGAUGAAGGCUUCCGGGUUUUAUUCCUCUUUCGCUGUCGAGCAGGUAGUUGGAGUAGAUGCCACGGCUAACUACGUGCACGCAGCCGCGGUAAUUC
rnacentral:rRNA from 1 species